GUGCCAGCAGCCGCGGUAAGACGAACCGUGCGAACGUUGUUCGGAAUCACUGGGCUUAAAGGGCGCGUAGGCGGGCGGCCGCGUCCGGGGUGAAAUCCUCCCGCUCAACGGGAGAACGGCCUCGGAUACGGGCGGCCUCGAGGGAGGUAGGGGCAUCGGGAACUGUGAGUGGAGCGGUGAAAUGCGUUGAUAUCUACAGGAACUCCGGUGGCGAAAGCGGCGUGCUGGACCUUUUCUGACGCUGAGGCGCGAAAGCGUGGGGAGCAAACAGGAUUAGAUACCCUGGUAGUCC
rnacentral:rRNA from 1 species